rnacentral:rRNA from 1 species
UGAACGCUGGCGGCGUGCUUAACACAUGCAAGUCGAACGAGAAAGGGAUUGCUUGCAAUCCUGAGUAGAGUGGCGCACGGGUGAGUAACACGUAGAUAAUCUACCUCCAAGCCUGGGAUAACUAUUCGAAAGGAUGGCUAAUACCGGAUGAAGUGCAUUGACAUAAGUUGAUGUAUGAAAGAUUGCCUCUUCUUGAAAGCAAUUGUUUGGAGAUGAGUCUGCGGACCAUUAGUUUGUUGGUGGGGUAAAGGCCUACCAAGACUGCGAUGGUUAGCUGGUCUGAGAGGAUGAUCAGCCACACUGGAACUGGAACACGGUCCAGACUCCUACGGGAGGCAGCAGUGAGGAAUUUUGCGCAAUGGGGGAAACCCUGACGCAGCAACGCCGCGUGAGUGAAGAAGGCCCUUGGGUCGUAAAGCUCUGUCGACAGGGAAGAAAUUACUUUGUAUUAAUAGUGCAUAGUAUUGACGGUACCUGUAGAGGAAGCACCGGCUAACUCC